GGUGGAGUAGGGAUGCCGGACCCGGUGAGGGAUGACAGAAGCAAGGGCCGCGGGGGCAGACAGGUUGGUGGGAGCGGCGCGAGGGGUGCAGUGACCUUAGCAAGGCCCCAGAGCGAUGAGGAAGGAAGGGAGGGCCGAUCCUGGAGUCCAGAGGAAUCCGCCCACCGCCAGCUAGAAAGUGUACAACCCCAGGCCGUGAAAACAGCAGCCGCUACUCAUCCUGCUUUGCAGCAUUUGCUGGUUUUCGUGGAGUAAGUAGUUGCGCUUUGGUUACCCAUGUGAUGGUGCUGGGCGUGGGAGACGGUAGCUGACCCCUCUGCCCACCUUGAAUCUCUUUCACAAUGAGAAGGACGUGAGAUCAGAGAUCCCAACCAAACAACCCCUUGGUGCUCAGGAAGCUUCGGUGGGACUGGCUCCAUGGUGUUCUGGCUGUGUGACCCUGAACCCUGAGCGCUGGGUAACCCGUUCUCCAGAACAAACAUGCAGUGUCAGAGGUCAGGGCAGGAUGCGGUGGGGAGGAGGUGCCACCCUGAAGCCCUGCAGAAGAUGCAGGACUCAGGGAAGAUGUGAGAACCAUACCUGGAUGACUAGAUCCUCUUUCCUGUGCUCCCUGGGCCGGUUUGGUCCCGCAAGGAGCAGACUCUGAGAUAAAGGCUGACAACUUCUGGAAGAUAAAUAUUUAGCUACGUACUCAUCCAGGGCUUCCCAAGUGUAUCAACUGCCGGGUUGUAGUCACACGUUCCUACAAAUCACAAAGCCCCUAAGAUACGUGGCAGAGAGCGUGAACUCAGACCACCUGAAGACUACAGACCAGCCGGAAGCCCUGGCCAGCGAGGGGACCCUUCACAUCAUGUAAAUUCGCUCUGCCUCUGUCCAGGAUUCUGAACUUCUGGGUCAGAGAAGAGGACCCCAGAAGGUGGGCCGGAAUGUCACUCCACAAUAGGAUUCUGUGUAUUUUAAAGGAAUUAAUUUCUUUCACAUUUUUUUCUAAAAGUGUAUAAAUUAAUCCUAAAUAAAUGAACAAAUCAAAAGCCGUCCUACCUAAU